rnacentral:rRNA from 1 species
AAUUCGCCCUUGAGCACGUAGGUGGGUUUGUAAGUCAGACGUGAAAGCCUUCUGUUCAACGGAAGAAUUGCAUCUGAAACUGCGAGUCUUGAGUGGAGGAGGGGAGAAUGGAACUUCUGGUGGAGCGGUGAAAUGCGUAGAUAUCAGAAGGAACGCCGGCGGCGAAAGCGAUUCUCUGGCCUAUUACUGACACUCAGUGUGCGAAAGCUAGGGGAGCAAACGGGAUUAGAUACCCCGGUAGUCCUAGCCGUAAACGAUGGGCACUAAGUAGUGGGAAUUACCGAUGUUCUCUCUGCCGUAGCUAACGCAUUAAGUGCCCCGCCUGGAGAGUACGGCCGCAAGGCUAAAACUCAAAAGAAUUGACGGGGGCUCGCACAAGCGGUGGAGCAUGUGGCUUAAUUCGAUGCAACGCGAAAAACCUUACCGGGGCUUGACAUGUUAGAAGUAGGAACCUGAAAGGGUAACGAACGGUAUCCAGUCCGUAGCUAUCACAGGUGUUGCAUGGCUGUCGUCAGCUCGUGUCGUGAGACGUUGGGUUAAGUCCCCUAACGAGCGAAACCCUUGUUUUUAGUUACCAGCGGGUUGUGCCGGGUACUCUAGAAAGACUGCCGUCGUCAAGACGGAGGAAGGUGGGGAUGACGUCAAGUCAUCAUGGCCCUUAUGCCCCGGGCUGCACACGUGCUACAAUGGUCGGUACAAACGGAAGCGAAGCCGAGAGGUGAAGCGAAUCCAAGGGCGAAUU